ACCAAUUAAAUAUUAGAACCCUUUCAAGUAUUCAUACUGUGCAAGUCAAAACAUCAUUUUGCAAAGCACAACACAUAUGCAGAAGGCACUAAGAAUUGCUCUGCUGAUAUGCCUGUGCUUCUCUUCUGAUGCUCCUGUUAGGAUACCUGGAGCAUUUUGCCUGUUGUGAUGAAACAAAACAGUCUUCAAUGAUAGUUCACAUUUCCAAUUUACACUUGCUAUGGUAACUGACCUGUGGGUGGAAGCCAAAACCACUCAUUACACUUUGAGGAUCAGUUUAACACAUUCCUGUGGAACACCGCUUUUAGCCCACCAGUCAUAUAGGAAAACCUGGCACCCACCAACACUGUACAAUUAAAUUUGAGACGAAAAGCUAAUUUUCUUGAAGUAACGGGCCUUGAACCUUCUCUACAAAGCUGGAAGAUAACAGCUAAACUAUCACUUAAAACCACUCCCAUAUACAAAGUCUUCAGGUUGGAGAAGGCUGAGAAAGAUGGUAAAGGAGAUUCUAUAGAACAGUUUAAAAUCUCCAAUAAAAUAUUUUUUGUAAAGGAA